UACAGAGGUGGCAAGCGUUGUUCGGAAUUACUGGGCGUAAAGGGCGCGUAGGCGGCCUUCUAAGUCAGACGUGAAAUCCCCCGGCUUAACCUGGGAACUGCGUCUGAUACUGGGAGGCUUGAGUAUGGGAGAGGGAUGUAGAAUUCCAGGUGUAGCGGUGAAAUGCGUAGAUAUCUGGAGGAAUACCGGUGGCGAAGGCGGCAUCCUGGACCAUAACUGACGCUGAGGCGCGAAAGCUAGGGGAGCAAAGCGGG
rnacentral:rRNA from 1 species